rnacentral:rRNA from 1 species
UACGUAGGGUGCGAGCGUGUCCGGAAUUAUUGGGCGUAAAGAGCUCGUAGGCGGUCUGUCGCGUCGGCUGUGAAAACCCGGGGACUCAACCCCGGGCCUGCAGUCGAUACGGGCAGACUAGAGUGCGGUAGGGGAGACUGGAAUUCCUGGUGUAGCGGUGAAAUGCGCAGAUAUCAGGAGGAACACCGGUGGCGAAGGCGGGUCUCUGGGCCGUAACUGACGCUGAGGAGCGAAAGCGUGGGGAGCGAACAGG